rnacentral:rRNA from 1 species
CUACGGGAGGCAGCAGUGGGGAAUAUUGGACAAUGGGGGCAACCCUGAUCCAGCCAUGCCGCGUGAGUGAUGAAGGCCUUCGGGUUGUAAAGCUCUUUUGGCGGGGACGAUGAUGACGGUACCCGCAGAAUAAGCCCCGGCUAACUUCGUGCCAGCAGCCGCGGUAAGACGAAGGGGGCAAGCGUUGUUCGGAAUUACUGGGCGUAAAGCGAGUGUAGGUGGUUGUCAUAGUCAGGUGUGAAAGCCUUGAGCUCAACUCAAGAAAUGCACUUGAUACUGGGCAGCUAGAGGACCGGAGAGGAUAGUGGAAUUCCCAGUGUAGUGGUGAAAUACGUAGAGAUUGGGAAGAACACCAGUGGCGAAGGCGGCUAUCUGGACGGUUUCUGACACUAAGACUCGAAAGCGUGGGGAGCAAACAGGAUUAGAUACCCUGGUAGUCCACGCCGUAAACGAUGGGUGCUAGACGUUGGCGAGCUUGCUCGUCAGUGUCGCAGCUAACGCGUUAAGCA